UGUGGAUGAUUUUCGUGAUUAUGCGGAGUUAUGCUUUAAAACCUUUGGUGAUAGAGUGAAGCACUGGGUCACUGUCAAUGAGCCUAAUUUAAUGAGUAUAUAUGGAUAUGCAUAUGGAUACAAUGCACCAGGUCGGUGUUCGGAUUAUGUCGGAAACUGCACCGAAGGCAACUCUGCAACAGAACCAUACAUAGUAGUCCACCACUUGAUUCUUUGCCAUGCAGCUGCUGUGAAAUUGUAUAGAGAAAAGUACCAGGUUUUUUUACUUAUUUUUAUUUAUCAAAGGAAUGAAUGUCUUGUAAUCAAUGUUGUGACACAAUUGAUUAAAUGAAAAUUUAGGCUUCUCAAGGAGGAAUUAUUGGGAUUACUGUUUUUACGGCAUGGGCAGUUCCUAAAUAUGAUGAUGUUUCUAGCAGGAAAGCUGCCUCCAGAGCUCUUGAUUUCUUGAUCGGAUGGAUUGUGCAUCCAAUCACUUAUGGUGACUACCCAGUAACCAUGCGAUAUUUGGUGGGUAAUAGACUUCCUGAAUUUACAGAAAAACAAGCAAAAAUGGUGAUAGGGUCUUUUGAUUUCAUUGGAAUAAAUUACUAUACAGCAUCAUAUGCAGAAGACAUUACAUUUUAUAGCAGCGUCAAUCUGAGUUAUACAACCGAUAGCCGAGUUAAUAAAACAACUGGGAAGAAUGGAAUUCCUAUUGGUGAACCAACUGGUUGCAGCUGGCUAUACAUAUACCCAAAAGGAAUUUAUAAACUUCUGCUGUAUCUAAAGAGAAAAUACAAUCAUCCUGCCAUUUACAUCACAGAGAACGGUAAAAACAUACUCAAGUUUGUCAAGAACGUGCUUGAUUGAUUCAAUUCUUGAUUGGUUAAGAUUUCAGAAUUUUUGUUGCAAUAUUUCUGGUUUUCUUUUCCUCAGGAAUGGGAGACAGUAGCUCAUUGUCACUUGCUAAUGCUCUAGAAGAUAAGUUAAGGAUAAAAUAUCACCAUCUUCAUCUACUAUCUAUCUUAAAAGCUGUUAAGUAAGUUUAGGCGUUGACAAAUCCAUCUUUAUUAUAUCUGAUUGAACAGAAAUUGAUUUUUAUACUGAUGCAGCCUGAUAUGAUUUCUUGGCAGGGAAGGUGUUGAUGUGAGAGGAUACUAUAUUUGGUCAUUUCUUGAUGACUUCGAAUGGGAUUUGGGUUAUACUAUUCGGUUUGGAAUCACUUAUGUAGAUUACAGAAAUGAAUUAAAAAGAUAUCUCAAACAAUCUGCUUUGUGGUUCAAGAAAUUCCUCCAAAAGAAGAAUAGAAUCACUGCAUCUUCAUUGUUGUACUCAGAAUGAUUAAAUUUUUUUUAAAAAAAUGUCAAUUACCUCUCAAUUCUUAAUCAUUACUUAUGCUAAUUUUCAGUGAAAAUACAUAAGUGUGUUGAGCUCAUUUGGGAAAGGAAAUGUCGAGUUCUUCUCCUUCUUCUCUAUCUUCACAGCAAUUUCAUACUCUGCGAUUGCUGAAGCAUACCUGAAAAGAAAAUGAACCAUAUGUUGAUCAGUAGUAUGCUAUUAAUGAAUUCUUUGAUCUCUUGUCC
rnacentral:misc_RNA from 1 species